GAGCGGCGUACGGGUGCGGAACACGUUGAGCAGCUGCCUUUAUCUGGGGGAUAGCCUUUCGAAAGGAAGAUUAAUACCCCAUAAUAUGUUGAAUGGCAUCAUUCGACAUUGAAAACUCCGGUGGAUAGAGAUGGGCACGCGCAAGAUUAGAUAGUUGGUGAGGUAACGGCUCACCAAGUCUACGAUCUUUAGGGGGCCUGAGAGGGUGAUCCCCCACACUGGUACUGAGACACGGACCAGACUCCUACGGGAGGCAGCAGUGAGGAAUAUUGGACAAUGGGUGAGAGCCUGAUCCAGCCAUCCCGCGUGAAGGACGACUGCCUAUGGGUUGUAAACUUCUUUGGUAUAGGGAUAAACUACCCUCGUGAGGGUAGCUGAAGGUACUAUACGAAUAAGCACCGGUAACUCCGUGCCAGCAGCCGGGUAUACGGAGGGUGCAAGCGUUAUCCGGAUUAUGGGGUUAAAGGGUCCGUAGGCGGAUCUGUAAGUCAGUGGUUGAAAUUCUCAACAGGUUUAACUUGGUGAAACCGGCAUUGGAUAACUGGAGGUCUUGGAAUUGGUUGGUUGAAGUUAAGUUGGGAAUAAGUUAUGGUAAGGGAA
rnacentral:rRNA from 1 species